rnacentral:rRNA from 1 species
UACGUAGGGGGCUAGCGUUGUCCGGAUUUAUUGGGCGUAAAGAGCGUGUAGGCGGCCAUGUAGGUCCGGUGUGAAAACUCGAGGCUUAACCUCGAGAUGUCAUCGGAAACCAUUUGGCUAGAGUCCGGAAGAGGAGAGUGGAAUUCCUGGUGUAGCGGUGAAAUGCGCAGAUAUCAGGAAGAACACCAAUUGCGAAGGCAGCUCGCUGGGACGUUACUGACGCUGAGACGCGAAAGCGUGGGGAGCAAACAGG